UACGAAGGGGGCUAGCGUUGCUCGGAAUUACUGGGCGUAAAGCGCACGUAGGCGGAUUGCUAAGUCAGGGGUGAAAUCCUGGAGCUCAACUCCAGAACUGCCCUUGAUACUGGCGAUCUUGAGUCCGGGAGAGGUGAGUGGAACUGCGAGUGUAGAGGUGAAAUUCGUAGAUAUUCGCAAGAACACCAGUGGCGAAGGCGGCUCACUGGCCCGGUACUGACGCUGAGGUGCGAAAGCGUGGGGAGCAAACAGG
rnacentral:rRNA from 1 species